GCUAGUCAACUCUGAUGAUGAAGAAGGUUUCAGGGAACUCAGGAUGUCUUACACAGCAAUGUUAAAUGAAACUCAAUGAUGACACUGAUGAGGAGACAAUGUGUUCUCCCUACAAGGUUAUGCUUUUCUAGCCUAAAUAUGUGAAUUCUAAUCAUGUUGGAAUUAGGAGGUCACAUGUAUUACAUUUUAAGGGGAGACAGUCUGUUACAUCUAUGUCUGAGACAGAAAAUGCAAUCUAUUGGUGUCUAAGCAACAGAUCUUCCUAUCUACACAGCUGUUAUGGGUCUACUGCAGAAGACAGCAAAAUGAAAACUAGAGACACAUAGGUUGUUUCUAGGUUUGCAUGUGACCCCAAGCAUGACGUGUGACCCACAUUAGGGCCCUCUAAGGAAAAUUCCUUCAUCCAUACUUUUACUUAAGUAAGGUUUUGAAUGCAGUACUUUUACUUGCCGUGGAGUAUUUUCACAGUGUGGUAUCUGCAGAAACAUGUAAAGCCUAAAAACAGGUUGUCCUCUGCCUUUCAAAACACACACUUUUAACCAAUUAAGGCAUUACAAGUUGGCAUAAUGGAAGAUUUAUAGCAAACAUUGUGCGCCUUCUGCUGGCCACUUAACACAUUACAUACAUACAUAUACAUAUAUCAGUCAAAAUAAUAGCCUUUAAAUUUUAAAUCCAGUAUAAUUAACAUGUAUAGGCUGAACAUGACAGACCGUCAGAAACACAAACACAGAUUUGACCUUUAUUUCUAAUGUAAAAGAGCGGUCGCAUUGUGAUGACUGCUGUUUACUUUCGGUUAAAAGUAAAGUAUGCUAAAUCUGUGACAACGUUGUCUGCUCGAGCUUAGAAAGUCCACAGAAAGCAAUUUUUCAGAAAAAUCCUAUCUGCAAAGUCCAGUGCUAAACAUUACUUUUCUGUGUGACAGUGUAGGUGGUGGUGUUGAACCACACCUCAUGUCAUGACUUCAUCAUCAGCUCUGUAGAGAUGAAAGAAUGUGAGGGGCACUAACAAACUAACAAACAAAAUCACAGCUAUCAAAAUUUGUAACCCUGUCUUAAUAUUACGGUGGCACUAUGUUUGGUAAAUGGCUAUCAAAGUGAAGCAUGAGAUAAAGUACGAUAAAAACAUUGGCAGUGGCCAUAUACAGUAGGUGAAAUUCCUAAUCAGGUCACAGAAUCUCACGAGUCACUGAAUACGGUGUAACACCAAAUUCUAAAAUCUUUUCUAGCUAUUAUGAGAUAAUAAGUCAUAAUUAGGAGAUACAGAAGUCUUAAUUACUUCUUUUGGAGUUAGGCAGAAAUAGAUGUGCACCAAUAAUGGAUUGUUGAUAUUUUAAUGCUUUAAUGCACAUCUCUUACAAUUGCAUCAACUAAGCUUUAAUCAGGUUAUAGCAUUAAACAUCUUGUGCAUUUUUCCAUAAACUUGACCAAGUCAUUAGCUGGACAAUAUAAGAGACUAAGUUGAUGCUGUUUACUGUGGGAGUCAGUGGUUUUGGCAGGGUGGCAUGAGAACAGUGGUUCUCACAUAGUUAAGUAAAGGAUGAGAUCCUUGUAUGUGCAUUUUAUAUUUCAAUGUUCAACUGCAGGAAUACCACUAAACCCUUGUUUACCCACAUAGUGUGACCAUACUGCUGAGAGUGCUAUCAGAGCAUGUCGAUACUCUUUGAUGCUUAUAAGAAGCAUAACAACCAGGUCUUGUUGCUCAGUGAAUUACAUGUGCAUUUCCGCAGAGGAGUCAACAGCUUCUACUUUGGAAUAGUUCACUGUUUUGAUCACAAGACACUUUGACACUAUUACAAGAGCCAAAUCUGUUACCUUACAUUUACAAAAUGGCCUCUCUCUCUUGCAGGGAUCCUCAACAUGUAUCCCCUGGUGGCGUAUAGCCUAACCCUAAUGCUGAAGACCUUCAUUGUGAAGUGUAGCUACUGUUUUCUGUGGCAGCAUAAUUAGACUACAAAUCUUAUGUGUCUCGUAUCCACUAAGCAAAACAGCAUAACAACACACACUCACAGAUGUUCUCCACUGCAAUAAGUGACAAUAAAACUGUACUUGACUGUAGACUCUGAAAUGUAAUUUGUUUUGAUUGAAAAUAUUCCCAAGUCAGGUCACUGACUAUAACUCUGCUUUACUUGUGCUACUACAUUUUAAAAUUUAACAUCAUCUCGUAAUUGUAACUUGUGGCAACAGUGGCGUGAACAAGUGAACAUCUUCAAUUCCAUGACAACUGGGCAGCUGGGUCCCGAGCUGCAUAACAGCUACUGAGUUGUCCUUGUGCUGAGAUUGUGGUGUUAACUGCUGUUUCCAAGGUCAAGAGUUAACUUUCAAUCUUAAUUAAAUCAGUGCUUUGAGCACCACAAAGGACAUUCCAUUUAUCACUGUUCUUAUUUGGGUGGAGGCAAAAUUGCAGAUAUUUUAACACCUGGACAUAUAAAACCAAGUUUAACUGCAUGGCAAGACACCACUAGGGAGGCAGACAGCUGGAGUGAAGCCACAUAGAAGAAAUCCAAUUGCAGGUGUUUCUCAGACACCGUUAAAUUCCACUCAGUAGUCGCUAGACCACGUUUACCAGCC